AGAGAAGAACCUGCAGAGUGACCGUGUCGCUCCCCUGCUGUGCACUUGGUCCCCUGGGGCCAUGCCUGACACACACUGAGCGUAGCGCCGGCUGCGGGAAGCCGAGGCGCACACCGCGUCAGCCAUGGGCAGCUUCCAGCUGGAAGACUUCGCGGCAGGCUGGAUCGGAGGUGUAGCCAGUGUCAUUGUUGGCUACCCUCUGGACACAGUCAAGACUCGCCUGCAGGCUGGUGUCGGCUAUGCAAACACCUUCAACUGCAUCCGCAUGGUGUACAAGAGGGAGAGUGUUUUCGGCUUCUUCAAGGGCAUGUCCUUCCCCCUGGCCAGCGUUGCCAUCUAUAACUCGGUGGUGUUCGGGGUCUUCAGCAACACUCAGCGGUUCCUUAGCCAGUACCGCUGUA
rnacentral:lncRNA from 1 species